AACUUAGUUCUCUCUAGCAGAUAAACAAGUUAAUAUUACAGUAUAUAAUUUGUUUCAGCGAGUGAUUCUGCUUUAUAUGUAUUUACCUCGUUUAUUUAGUGUGCAAGUUGAAACACAAAAUUUCGUUUACGAGCGAUUGGCAUUGCUCUAGAAAAAAACUGAUGAGCAUUUAACAGACACGUAAUAAAACUGUUUCUUGACAUUUCCCAAAGGUCUAUUCACAAAAUCAUUUAUUUCUUAUCUGCAAAAACACCUGCACUCAUCCUGCAACUUUGCUCGGACUUUGAAGUGUCCGCCAUUGUUAAUGAGGUAUCGAAGCAAUUCGUCACCGUUACAUAACGCUCACUGAACUUCAAUACAUAAAAGUCAUUCUAUUACAUCAAAACGAAGAUUUUUUUAUAUAAAAAUUACAAUAUAUAUUAAAGCAACAAACUAGGAUGCGAACGUUUUGUUUUCAAUGUUACCAAAAUGAAUUAAGAAGAAAUUAAACAAAAAAUUGGGUAGGGGUGAAAUUGACUAGUAACAACUUGAGUACUAUUAAAAGAUAACUAGUUUCUGAGCUACAAGCAGACGGAUUUGAAAAUUCAAGGAUUUAUACAUCAAUUGAUGUUUUAUAGCGGAAUAUUUCUAAAAGAGUUGCUGAUCAUAUGCAGGAAAAAAAAUAGGGAAGCUGAGACCUGCAAAAACUGUUCCCAAAAUAACGAUGAUAAAGGAUGGUAAAAGAACUGCACAAGAAGCAAGGACAUUUAAAGAAGUUUCAGGGAGAGGCAGAUAAGUGAUGUGGGAAAAAUGUAUAUUUAAAAAAAUAUGAAUAAAUUUAAUUUGAUUGAAAAUCCUAUUCAUUUGUACUUCUUUUCAUAUUUGAUAGAUUACAGAGGUAAUAUAAUAGUGAUGAAAUAGUGAUGAAUAUUCGCUGAUAAGGUUUUGUAAUAUUGCUGAAAAUUUUCUUAAGGUGGAUCUUUACACCAAAUAAGUGUAGGGGAUUUUUGUUGCAUGCAUUUGUUACCAGUACUAGGCACAGUAUUCAACAAUAAUAGACCUCAAAAUACAAUACACUAU